UACGUAGGGGGCUAGCGUUGUCCGGAAUCAUUGGGCGUAAAGCGCGUGUAGGCGGUCCGGUAAGUCCGCUGUGAAAGUCGGGGGCUCAACCCUCGGAUGCCGGUGGAUACUGUCGGGCUUGAGUACGGAAGAGGCGAGUGGAAUUCCCGGUGUAGCGGUGAAAUGCGCAGAUAUCGGGAAGGAACACCAAUGGCGAAGGCAGCUCGCUGGGACGGUACUGACGCUGAGGCGCGAAAGCGUGGGAGCAA
rnacentral:rRNA from 1 species